rnacentral:rRNA from 1 species
AUACGUAGGGAGCGAGCGUUGUCCGGAAUUACUGGGUGUAAAGGGAGCGUAGGCGGGAGUGCAAGUCAGAUGUGAAAUACAUGGGCUCAACCCAUGGGCUGCAUUUGAAACUGCAUUUCUUGAGUGAAGUAGAGGUAAGCGGAAUUCCUGGUGUAGCGGUGAAAUGCGUAGAUAUCAGGAGGAACACCGGUGGCGAAGGCGGCUUACUGGGCUUUUACUGACGCUGAGGCUCGAAAGCGUGGGGAGCAAACAGGAUUAGAUACCCUGGUAGUCCACGUUGUAAACGAUGAUUACUAGGUGUGGGGGGACUGACCCCUUCCGUGCCGCAGUUAACACAAUAAGUAAUCCACCUGGGGAGUACGGCCGCAAGGUUGAAACUCAAAUGAAUUGACGGGG